AGCGAACGCUGGCGGCAGGCCUAACACAUGCAAGUCGAACGAACCUUUCGGGGUUAGUGGCGGACGGGUGAGUAACACGUGGGAACGUGCCUUUAGGUUCGGAAUAACUCAGGGAAACUUGUGCUAAUACCGAAUGUGCCCUUCGGGGGAAAGAUUUAUCGCCUUUAGAGCGGCCCGCGUCUGAUUAGCUAGUUGGUUGAGGUAAUGGCUCACCAAGGCGACGAUCAGUAGCUGGUCUGAGAGGAUGAUCAGCCACAUUGGGACUGAGACACGGCCCAAACUCCUACGGGAAGCAGCAGUGGGGAAUCUUGCGCAAUGGGCGAAAGCCUGACGCAGCCAUGCCGCGUGAAUGAUGAAGGUCUUAGGAUUGUAAAAUUCUUUCACCGGGGACGAUAAUGACGGUACCCGGAGAAGAAGCCCCAGCUAACUUCGUG
rnacentral:rRNA from 1 species